rnacentral:rRNA from 1 species
ACGUGAGCAACCUGCCCUGGACUCUGGGAUAAGCGCUGGAAACGGCGUCUAAUACUGGAUAUGAGCUCUCAUCGCAUGGUGGGGGUUGGAAAGAUUUUUCGGUCUGGGAUGGGCUCGCGGCCUAUCAGCUUGUUGGUGAGGUAAUGGCUCACCAAGGCGUCGACGGGUAGCCGGCCUGAGAGGGUGACCGGCCACACUGGGACUGAGACACGGCCCAGACUCCUACGGGAGGCAGCAGUGGGGAAUAUUGCACAAUGGGCGGAAGCCUGAUGCAGCAACGCCGCGUGAGGGAUGACGGCCUUCGGGUUGUAAACCUCUUUUAGCAGGGAAGAAGCGAGAGUGACGGUACCUGCAGAAAAAGCGCCGGCUAACUACGUGCCAGCAGCCGCGGUAAUACGUAGGGCGCAAGCGUUAUCCGGAAUUAUUGGGCGUAAAGAGCUCGUAGGCGGUUUGUCGCGUCUGCUGUGAAAUCCCGAGGCUCAACCUCGGGCCUGCAGUGGGUACGGGCAGACUAGAGUGCGGUAGGGGAGAUUGGAAUUCCUGGUGUAGCGGUGGAAUGCGCAGAUAUCAGGAGGAACACCGAUGGCGAAGGCAG